rnacentral:rRNA from 1 species
UACGAAGGGGGCUAGCGUUGCUCGGAAUUACUGGGCGUAAAGGGAGCGUAGGCGGAUAGUUUAGUCAGAGGUGAAAGCCCAGGGCUCAACCUUGGAAUUGCCUUUGAUACUGGCUAUCUUGAGUACGGAAGAGGUAUGUGGAACUCCGAGUGUAGAGGUGAAAUUCGUAGAUAUUCGGAAGAACACCAGUGGCGAAGGCGACAUGCUGGUCCGUUACUGACGCUGAGGCUCGAAAGCGUGGGGAGCAAACAGG